rnacentral:rRNA from 1 species
UACGUAGGGCGCAAGCGUUGUCCGGAAUUAUUGGGCGUAAAGAGCUCGUAGGCGGCUUGUCACGUCGGGUGUGAAAGCCCGGGGCUUAACCCCGGGUCUGCAUUCGAUACGGGUUGGCUAGAGUGUGGUAGGGGAGAUCGGAAUUCCUGGUGUAGCGGUGAAAUGCGUAGAUAUCAGGAGGAACACCGGUGGCGAAGGCGGAUCUCUGGGCCAUUACUGACGCUGAGGAGCGAAAGCGUGGGGAGCGAACAGG